rnacentral:rRNA from 1 species
CCUACGGGAGGCAGCAGUGGGGAAUAUUGGGCAAUGGGCGAGAGCCUGACCCAGCGAAGUCGCGUGAGGGAUGAAGGCCCUCGGAUUGUUAAACUUCUUUUGUAGGGGAGUACGGUGAGUCACGUGUUCCUCUUUGAAUGUACCCUAUGAAUAAGCAUCGGCUAACUCCGUGCCAGCAGCCGCGGUAAUACGGAGAGGGCGAGCGUUGUCCGGAUUUACUGGGUUGAAAGGGUGCGGAGGCGGGAUGUGAAGUCAGCGGGGAAAUUUCGGGGCUCAACCAUAGAACUGCCGUUGAAACUGGUAAACUUGAGUGUGUGAGAGGUAAGUGGAAUGCGUGGUGUAGCGGUGAAAUGCAUAGAUAUCACGCAGAACUCCGAUUGCGAAGGCAGCUUACUGGCGCAUAACUGACGCUGAGGCACGAAAGCGUGGGUAUCAAACAGGAUUAGAUACCCUUGUAGUC